GAUGAAGAACGCAGCGAAAUGCGAUACGUAAUGUGAAUUGCAGAAUUCAGUGAAUCAUCGAAUCUUUGAACGCACAUUGCACUCUCUGGUAUUCCGGAGAGUAUGCUUGUUUGAGUAUCUGUAAACAUCUCAAAUCUCUCUUCAAUUGCUUCAAUUGGGUCGAGAGAAUUGGAUUUGAGCGAUCCCGACUCCUUCGUCAGAAAGAGGAGGGGCGCUUGAAAUGCAGGUGCAGCUGGACAUUCUUCUGAGCAAAAAGCAUAUCUAUUUAGUCCCGUCAAACGGAUUAUUACUUUUGCUUCAGCUAAUAUAAAGGUUGAAUGAACUACCAACGCUGAUUGCAGGAAAACAUGUUCGUUUAUUCGGACUUGUAAACUCGAUCUCAAAUCAAGUAAGACUACCCGCUGAACUUAAGCAUAUCAAUAAGCGGAGGA
rnacentral:misc_RNA from 1 species